rnacentral:rRNA from 1 species
UACAGAGGUCUCGAGCGUUAGGCGGAAUCACUGGGCUUAAAGGGUGUGUAGGCGGGCUUUUAAGUCAGUGGUGAAAUCUCCGGGCUCAACCUGGAAACUGCCAUUGAUACUAUUAGUCUUGAAUUUUGUUGAGGUAGGCGGAAUAAGUCAUGUAGCGGUGAAAUGCAUAGAUAUGACUUAGAACACCAAUUGCGAAGGCAGCUUGCUAAACAAAUAUUGACGCUGAGGCACGAAAGCGUGGGGAUCAAACAGG